GAAUAGCUCCGGGAAACUGGAAUUAAUACCGUAUGUGCUCUUUGGCGGUGGACGCUGGAGAGGAAAGAUUUAUCGGCAAAGGAUGAGCCCGCGUUGGAUUAGCUAGUUGGUGGGGUAAAGGCCUACCAAGGCGACGAUCCAUAGCUGGUCUGAGAGGAUGAUCAGCCACAUUGGGACUGAGACACGGCCCAAACUCCUACGGGAGGCAGCAGUGGGGAAUAUUGGACAAUGGGCGCAAGCCUGAUCCAGCCAUGCCGCGUGUGUGAUGAAGGCCUUAGGGUUGUAAAGCACUUUCACCGGUGAAGAUAAUGAC
rnacentral:rRNA from 1 species